GACGAACGCUGGCGGCGUGCUUAACACAUGCAAGUCGAACGGAAAGGCCCUGCUUUUGUGGGGUGCUCGAGUGGCGAACGGGUGAGUAACACGUGAGUAACCUGCCCUUGACUUUGGGAUAACUUCAGGAAACUGGGGCUAAUACCGGAUAGGAGCUCCUGCUGCAUGGUGGGGGGUGGAAAGUUUCGGCGGUUGGGGCUGGACUCGCGGCUUAUCAGCUUGUUGGUGGGGUAGUGGCUUACCCAGGCUUUGACGGGUAGCCGGCCUGAGAGGGUGACCGGCCACAUUGGGACUGAGAGACGGACCAGACUCCUACGGGAGGCAGCAGUGGGGAAUAUUGCACAAUGGGCGGAAGCCUGAUGCAGCAACGCCGCGUGCGGGAUGACGGCCUUCGGGUUGUAAACCGCUUUCGCCUGUGACGAAGCGUGAGUGACGGUAAUGGGUAAAGAAGCACCGGCUAACUACGUG
rnacentral:rRNA from 1 species